rnacentral:sRNA from 1 species
AAGUUGUUUUUUACAUUUGUUUGGGAAGUAUAUCAGUUGGGUUUUGCUUUAAUUGGUUUACCUGGUAGUUAGAAAUGCAGGCGGCCUGAUUAUUGAUUAUAUUCUGACAUUAGUCGGAAGACAUUCUAAACUUGGAUCAGGCAGUGUGGUGGCCCAAUUCUAUCUGAAUCAGGAGAAAUCCACUCUGUAACACUUCAGUGCGUUCCUACCAAAACUAACCGGAUCAACUAAUAGGAUAUAUAUAUAUAAAAAAAUAGAAUAUUUUGCAAGUGAUUACAACUAUUCAAUAAAUGAGCCGUAUUUCCUCCUCCAACAGCAAAUAAUGUGGUC